GGUCUUAUGGCUACAUAGCACCCGGUAAGUUCAUUACUUCACUAUAUUUGCAAUUAAAUGAUAUCACUAAGCCAGUUUUUAACCACUGCAUCACAUUUUUACAAACAUUACUAAUGCUUGCUUUCUGAUUUUGUGCACAGUGAUACUGUAGAUGAUUGAUGAUUGAUAGUGACCUUGUUAGUUCAGUUAGUUAUUUUGUGUGUAGUAAAUUUUUCUUGUAAUGUCAAAAUUGUCUGAAUAUUUCAAGAACUCAAGAUGAACAGCAACCAUCUGAUAUUCCCAAGGUAAGAACAGUUACAAGCCACGUAUAGCUGACUUUUGAUCCCUUAUAAGUAGUACUGUACGCAAUAGUGUUACCUCAGUGAAACUGAAGUCAUUGAGAAACUAUAGGAUCUCGACUUCAAACUCUUAAAUUAAAAAAAAAAAAGUGAGAGCAGAAAAACCACCCGUGAUUUGUGCCAAAGGGAGACAGGCGCAUAGGUUUUCUUGGUAUUCACAACACAACAUCACACAGAAACAAAAGAGCCGAAGCACUUUGUUGGGACCCACGAAAAACUCUGAUCUAGCAAUCUUGGAGGUCCAAAUCUGACACAUUGUUGCUUAUUUUCAGUCUGAUAAUGAUUCUAACGUAACAGCACAUUGAGAUUAGUGAAAGCUAACCGACACAUAUAUGCAUGCACACCUAUUUACAACGCUAAUCUUUGGUGUACUAGCUGAUUUUGGUCUUACGUGUAAAGCGUAUUUUUCUUCUUCUUCUUCCCACCUACCAGUCUUCUUUGGCUGCUUUGAGCUUUCUUGGCAAGUUUGGCAUCUCUUUUUGUCUUUGUCCUUUGACCUAAUAUCUAUGAUUUUUUUUGGGGGUACUUUCCUUAAUCCCAAGAUGAAGAUGCUGCAAAUUGGGUUGUGUGGGGCUUGGAUUGUGGUGGUCUUAUGGGCCUCAUCCCAUGGUUUAGCUAUGUCAUGACUAAAUUUUGUUCAUAUCGCAGAAUAUGCAUACACAUUGAAGGUG
rnacentral:misc_RNA from 1 species